UUAACACCUUAAUGUCUCUCUAACAUAUGGAAAGCGGGGGAGAGGUCCUUUACUGAACAUUAUUGUGCUAAUUGGGACACACCAUAUGGGUCAGGCUCCAGUGUCCUCUAUUCACAUUCAAAGUAUCUUGGGAUUCCAUUCAGAGCCAGGAAUCCCACUGAGCAAAAUGGCCGCUAGUCUCAGUCUAUUUUAGCCAAAAGGUUAUAG